GCGGUGGUGGUCAAGUGGUUAGGUCACCGACUUAUGAUCUGUGAGUCAUGGGUUCGAACCGCUCCACCGCU
rnacentral:tRNA from 1 species